rnacentral:lncRNA from 1 species
UAGUUAUGGUGAGAACGCUGGAGGAUGAACACGGYACCCCCGGGCUUGCACAGCGUGGCUCUUCGCCAUGGACACAUGGAGCUGAACCUGGAGAAGCCUCCACAUCCUAUGCAGGACAUGGUCUUCACGUAAACAGUGAUUUUCCCUCCAUCAGCAUAUGAAUUAGUGUAUGGCAAAGCAUGAGGUUAUACGGAGGUGGAUAAUCAUCCAACGGCCUCACAGACUCAACCUGCCAGCAGCAGCUGGCCCUGGCUGCUCCGCUCCGGUUUAUUGGUUGAAGAGAUUCAUUGUCUUCGUGGCAUCCAUCAUGUAAAUCCAAUGUGUAUGCUUGACUACCCUCAACAGCACUGGCAAUAAACAGCAGUCCCUGUGUCA